GAUGAAGAACGUAGCGAAAUGCGAUAAGUAAUGUGAAUUGCAGAAUUCAGUGAAUCAUCGAAUCUUUGAACGCACAUUGCGCCCGCCAGUAUUCUGGCGGGCAUGCCUGUUCGAGCGUCAUUUCAACCAUCAAGCCCCCCGGCUUGUGUUGGGGACCUGCGGCUGCCGCAGGCCCUGAAAACCAGUGGCGGGCUCGCUGUCACACCGGGCGUAGUAGAUUUUAUCUCGCUCAGGGCGUGCUGCGGGUUCCGGCCGUUAAAAAGCCUUUUUUACCCAAGGUUGACCUCGGAUCAGGUAGGAAGACCCGCUGAACUUAAGCAUAUCAAUAAGCGGAGGA
rnacentral:misc_RNA from 1 species